CUAAGGCUUCUCGCGCUGAUCCCGUGGCACGUGAGCGCGCACAGAGGAGAACGACGCUAUCGGCCGCAGCCCGGUGGGGGGCGACCGAGAGGAGGCCAUACGUUGUUCCUGCGAUUGGAACCGGCAUUCCACCCCCCAUCACCUCACCCCCCAAGGGACGUGCCAGCAUUCGCAAGUCACGGCUGAUUCCGGACUUUCAGGAACGAAUUCGAUCGUCGCCUUCCGCAGAAACUUCGCAGCAUCAGUUAACAAGCUACCUCACCUGCACCGGCUGUAGACACUCCUUCCGAUAACCGCAAUGUUUACCCUCAUCAGAUUGGUCCUUGGUUUCAUUGUCGGCUAUGCCGGCACCAUGUUCACACCGUGGCUACUCAACAAGGCUGGCUUCGGGAAGACAGGCGUGAAGCCAGCGACGUUGGCCGCCUAUCUCCAGGCGCGCCACAAGGGUGCCAUCCCGAGGGACGGGUACUUUGCAGCUUUGCAGAAGUGGGGCAUGGCGGGCCCGCCGGCAUUCUACAGCUUCGUGGUCUUCGUCUUCAUGGCACGCACGGGCUACUGCCUUGUGUAGGGAGCUCAGCUGAAGAGGUGGCAUCGUCCGACGGUGCCCCUUUCGUUACCGGAUUGCGGCACCCUACACAGUGUCACCUCGACGCCCUUCAAGCCGUGCAAAUUGAAACUCGGGCAGAAUAAAUCUAAGAGGCAACCUGA